UAAUACAUGCAUGUCGAGCGGGAGUAGCAAUACUCUAGCGGCAAAUGGGUGAGUAACACGUGCUUAAUCUACCUUUUAGAUUGGAAUACCCAAUGGAAACAUUGGUUAAUGCCGGAUAAGUAUGAAAUCGCAUGAUUUCGUUAUGAAAGAAGCGUUUGCUUCACUAAGAGAUGAGGGUGCGGAACAUUAGCUAGUUGGUGAGGUAAUGGCCCACCAAGGCUAUGAUGUUUAGCCGGGUCGAGAGACUGAACGGCCACAUUGGGACUGAGAUACGGCCCAAACUCCUACGGGAGGCAGCAGUAGGGAAUAUUCCACAAUGAGCGAAAGCUUGAUGGAGCGACACAGCGUGCACGAUGAAGGCCCUCGGGUUGUAAAGUGCUGUUGCAAGGGAAGAAAAAGCAGUUGAGGAAAUGCAACUGAACUGACGGUACCUUGUUAGAAAGCGAUGGCUAACUAUGUGCCAGCAGCCGCGGUAAUACAUAGGUCGCAAGCGUUAUCCGGAAUUAUUGGGCGUAAAGCGUUCGUAGGCUGUUUAUUAAGUCUGGAGUCAAAUCCCAGGGCUCAACCCUGGUUCGCUUUGGAUACUGGUAAACUAGAGUUGGAUAGAGGUAAGCGGAAUUCCAUGUGAAGCGGUGAAAUGCGUAGAUAUAUGGAAGAACACCAAAGGCGAAGGCAGCUUACUGGGUCUAUACUGACGCUGAGGGACGAAAGCGUGGGGAGCAAACAGGAUUAGAUACCCUGGUAGUCCACGCCGUAAACGAUGAUCAUUAGUCGGUGGCCAAUCACUGACGCAGCUAACGCAUUAAAUGAUCCGCCUGAGUAGUAUGCUCGCAAGAGUAAAACUUAAAGGAAUUGACGGGGACCCGCACAAGCGGUGGAGCAUGUGGUUUAAUUUGAGGAUACGCGGAGAACCUUACCCACUCUUGACAUCCUUCGCAAAGCUAUAGAGAUAUAGUGGAGGUUAACGGAGUGACAGAUGGUGCAUGGUUGUCGUCAGCUCGUGUCGUGAGAUGUUUGGUCAAGUCCUGCAACGAGCGCAACCCCUAUCUUUAGUUACUAACGAGUCAUGUCGAGGACUCUAGAGAUACUGCCUGGGUAACUGGGAGGAAGGUGGGGAUGACGUCAAAUCAUCAUGCCUCUUACGAGUGGGGCUACACACGUGCUACAAUGGUCGGUACAAAGAGAAGCAAUAUGGCGACAUGGAGCAAAUCUCAAAAAGCCGAUCUCAGUUCGGAUUGGAGUCUGCAA
rnacentral:rRNA from 2 species